UACAGAGGUCUCAAGCGUUUGUUCGGAUUCAUUGGGCGUAAAGAGCUCGUAGGCGGUCUGUCGCGUCGAUCGUGAAAACUUGGGGCUUAACCCUGAGCUUGCGGUCGAUACGGGCAUGACUGGAGUUCGGCAGGGGAGACUGGAAUUCCUGGUGUAGCGGUGGAAUGCGCAGAUAUCAGGAGGAACACCGGUGGCGAAGGCGCCACUCUGGGCCGAAACUGACGCUGAGGAGCGAAAGCGUGGGUAGCAAACAGG
rnacentral:rRNA from 1 species